rnacentral:rRNA from 1 species
GACGAACGCUGGCGGCGUGCUUAACACAUGCAAGUCGAACGGAAAGGCCCUGCUUUUGUGGGGUGCUCGAGUGGCGACCGGGUGAGUAACACGUGAGUAACCUGCCCUUGACUUUGGGAUAACUUCUGGAAACUGGGGCUCAUACCGGAUAGGAGCUCCUGCUGCAUGGUGGGGGUUGGAAAGUUUCGGCGGUUGGGGAUGGACUCGCGGCUUAUCAGCUUGUUGGUGGGGUAGUGGCUUACCAAGGCUUUGACGGGUAGCCGGCCUGAGAGGGUGACCGGCCACAUUGGGACUGAGAUACGGCCCGGACUCCUACGGGAGGCAGCAGUGGGGAAUAUUGCACAAUGGGCGGAAGCCUGAUGCAGCAACGCCGCGUGCGGGAUGACGGCCUUCGGGUUGUAAACCGCUUUCGCCUGGGACGAAGCGUGAGUGACGGUAAUGGGUAAAGAAGCACCGGCUAACUACGUG